rnacentral:rRNA from 1 species
AGCUGGUCUGAGAGGAUGAUCAGCCACACUGGAACUGAGACACGGUCCAGACUCCUACGGGAGGCAGCAGUGGGGAAUAUUGCACAAUGGGGGAAACCCUGAUGCAGCCAUGCCGCGUGUAUGAAGAAGGCCUCGGGUUGUAAAGUACUUUCAGUUGUGAGGAAGGCGUUGAAGUUAAUAGCUUCAGCGUUUGACGUUAGCAACAGAAGAAGCACCGGCUAACUCCGUGCCAGCAGCCGC